rnacentral:rRNA from 1 species
UACGAAGGGGGCUAGCGUUGUUCGGAAUGACUGGGCGUAAAGGGAGCGUAGGCGGUAUGAUACGUCUGAUGUGAAAGUCCUGGGCUUAACCUGGGGACUGCAUUGGAUACGGUCGUACUAGAGGCGUAGAGGGGAAGAUGGAAUUGCGUGUGUAGAGGUGAAAUUCGUAGAUAUACGCAAGAACACCGAUGGCGAAGGCAAUCUUCUGGCUACGAUCUGACGCUAAGGCUCGAAAGCGUGGGGAGCAAACAGG